rnacentral:rRNA from 1 species
UUAGUUACCAGCGGGUAAUGCCGGAACUCUAAGGGACUGCCUUGGUUAACGAGGAGGAAGGUGGGGACGACGUCAAGUCCUCAUGGCCCUUACAUCCCGGGCUACACACGUGCUACAAUGGCAGGUACAGAGGGCUGCGAAGCCGCGAGUGGAAGCGAAUCCCAGAAAACCUGUCUCAGUCCGGAUUGAAGUCUGCAACUCGACUUCAUGAAGGCGGAAUCGCUAGUAACCGCGAAUCAGCAGGUCGCGGUGAAUACGUUCCCGGGCCUU